CCUACGGGAGGCAGCAGUGGGGAAUUUUGGACAAUGGACGAAAGUCUGAUCCAGCAAUGCCGCGUGCAGGACGAAGGCCUUCGGGUUGUAAACUGCUUUUGUACGGAACGAAAAGGUCUGCCUUAAUACGGUGGGCUCAUGACGGUACCGUAAGAAUAAGCACCGGCUAACUACGUGCCAGCAGCCGCGGUAAUACGUAGGGUGCAAGCGUUAAUCGGAAUUACUGGGCGUAAAGCGUGCGCAGGCGGUUAUAUAAGUCAGAUGUGAAAUCCCCGGGCUCAACCUGGGACCUGCAUUUGAGACUGUAUAGCUAGAGUACGGUAGAGGGGGAUGGAAUUCCGCGUGUAGCAGUGAAAUGCGUAGAUAUGCGGAGGAACACCGAUGGCGAAGGCAAUCCCCUGGACCUGUACUGACGCUCAUGCACGAAAGCGUGGGGAGCAAACAGGAUUAGAUACCCUGGUAGUCCACGCCCUAAACGAUGUCAACUGGUUNUUGGGUCUUCACUGACUCAGUAACGAAGCUAACGCGUGAAGUUGACCGCCUGGGGAUACGGCGCAGGUUGAACGUUAAGGAAUUGACGG
rnacentral:rRNA from 1 species